AGCUUGGUGUAGUGGUUUGCGCGUUGGACUAUGACUCUGGAGACCAGGAUUCGAUUUCCAGCUUGGCUA